rnacentral:rRNA from 1 species
AGCGGCGAAAGGGUGCGUAACACGUGGGCAAUUUGCCAUAAUGUUGGGGAUAACUCGCUGAAAGGCGAGCUAAUACCGAAUGUGAUCAUCUGGUGGCAUCAUUGGAUGAUUAAAGUUGGGGACCGUAAGGCCUGACGCAUUAUGAUGAGCCCGCGGCCUAUCAGCUAGUUGGUGAGGUAACGGCUCACCAAGGCUAAGACGGGUAGCUGGUCUGAGAGGACGACCAGCCUCACUGGAACUGAGACACGGUCCAGACACCUACGGGUGGCAGCAGUCGAGAAUUUUUCUCAAUGGGGGAAACCCUGAAGGAGCGACGCCGCGUGGGGGAUGAAUGGCUUCGGCCCGUAAACCCCUGUCAUUUGCGAACAAAACUUACGCUUUAACAAAGCGUGAGCUGAUUGUAGCGAAAGAGGAAGGGACGGCUAACUCUGUGCCAGCAGCCGCGGUAAUACAGAGGUCCCAAGCGUUGUUCGGAUUCACUGGGCGUAAAGGGUGCGUAGGCGGUCGGGUAAGUUUGAUGUGAAAGCUCUGGGCUUAACCCAGAAAUGGCAUUGAAUACUAUUCGGCUAGAGAGUCGGAGGGGGGACUGGAAUACUUGGUGUAGCAGUGAAAUGCGUAGAUAUCAAGUGGAACACCAGUGGCGAAGGCGAGUCCCUGGACGAUUUCUGACGCUGAGGCACGAAAGCUAGGGGAGCAAACAGGAUUAGAUACCCUGGUAGUCCUAGCUGU